CCUACGGGCGGCAGCAGUGAGGAAUAUUGGUCAAUGGGCGCGAGCCUGAACCAGCCAAGCCGCGUGAGGGAUGAAGGUCCUGCGGGUUGUAAACUUCUUUUGUAAGGGAAUAAAGUCAGGCACGUGUGCCUGGUUGUGUGUACUUUAUGAAAAAGGAUCGGCUAACUCCGUGCCAGCAGCCGCGGUAAUACGGAGGAUCCGAGCGUUAUCCGGAUUUAUUGGGUUUAAAGGGAGCGUAGAUGGGUUGUUAAGUCAGUUGUGAAAGUUGGCGGCUUAACCCUAGAAUCGCCAUUGAUACUGGCAGCCUCGAGUACAGUUGAGGUAGGCGGAAUUCGUGGUGUAGCGGUGAAAUGCUUAGAUAUCACGAAGAACUCCGAUUGCGAAGGCAGCUUACUA
rnacentral:rRNA from 1 species